rnacentral:rRNA from 1 species
UACAGAGGUCUCAAGCGUUGUUCGGAUUUAUUGGGCGUAAAGGGCGCGUAGGCGGCUCUGCACGUCCGUUGUGAAAUCGCCCGGCUCAACUGGGCGGGGUCAGCGGAUACGGCGGAGCUUGAGCAAGCUAGGGGGCAAUGGAAUUCCCGGUGUAGUGGUGGAAUGCGUAGAUAUCGGGAGGAACACCAGUGGCGAAGGCGGUUGCCUGGGGCUUUGCUGACGCUGAUGCGCGAAAGCGUGGGGAGCGAGUCCGG